rnacentral:lncRNA from 1 species
AGAAAGACAGUGAAAAACAUAUGUAUGAAUACAUACUAUGCGAGUAGACUGAGAAGACUUUUGAGCUCUUUCAGACUCAGUAGGACACAGCUGUACUGAUGUUCAUCUCAAUUAAUAGAGUGAAGAAGCUUUAUCUUUAUUCAGUGCGAAGCAGCUGCCAAGAGACAUGGCCUUUGAGAGAGAGGAAAUAAUGGGAAAGUUAACAUAUGUCAUCAAAGGAGAAUCACUUCCUGCUACCCUCAGCUCAGUCUCAAUCACCCCAAAUAUCAGGUAUUUAUGACCUGCUUCUCAUAGUCCCAAGUUUGUUUGGCUUCUAUUUACUUCCUCACUUCAAGAUACUUAAUUUUGCGUGUUGGCUUCGUGACCCACUUUGGACACCUUACUUUGGCUCUCCACUACAGCCAAUGUCCACUCCUUUCCUGGCCUCCCCUUCAAGAAAUCACAAUUUAAUCUUCACAUAAGAGAUGCCUCUAUACAGUUCUAAUCAUUCACUCUACGAGUUACACAGUCAAGAAAAAUAAGCAAAUCACUAUAAAGAGCUUCUGUGUCUCCAUGGUCAAAAGAUGAUCUAGCCAUUCCCUCUAGGGUCUAUAAUGUUUCUUCUUCUUCUCCAAGGUCACACUAGGCAGGGA